AAAGGAAAAUGAAAAGGAAGAAGAAGAGGAAAAUGGAAAUGAGAAGAGCAAGGAAACUGGAAAUGAGACUGAAUAUGAAAAGGUGAAGAACAUAAAACUGGUUCACAUAGAUUAUAUUUUGGAGAAGGCUGAAACUGGCAUUCAGUUCGUUGGCAAUGUCAUGCGUAGCAGUAGUCAGAUAAGGCGGGCACACUGUUGGUUUCCUUGUGUUGAUAGUGCCAGAGAACGCUGUCCGUAAGUUAAUUUCAUUCGUUCAUGCUUUUGUGAAUCCUGGUACAAUAUUUGCCUUUGCGUGUUAAUAAUUCUCUCUCUAUUUAUCAUGUUAUGCUCAGAUUUGAUCUAGAAUUUACAGUUAGCAUGGAUUUCAUUGCUGUCAGCAAUGGUGACUUGCUUUACCAGGUAUGCGUUCAGUCUUGAUCAAGAGAUCUGGAGGGAAAAUAUUAAUUUCCUUGUUUUUGAAGAACUAACUUUUGUGAAGUAACAAGGAAGCUCUUUUAGCUUUAAUACACUUGGUAUUACAGUUCAUUUCUUUUCUGUGCAUGUUAGUUAUGUUCUGUUUUCUGAUCUUAGAAGGUCUCUAGUAAGGAAGAUCCUUAAAAAAGAACUUAUGUGUAUAAAUUGAACACUCCAGUUAGUGCACAGUGGAUAUCCUUGGUUGUUGGCGCACUUGAAGUUCUUCCUGACAGAAAUGACAUAAAUGUCUCACACAUAUGUUUAUCCCCUGCUUUGGCAAAGCUUCAGAACACUAUUGCAUUUUUCCACAAUGCAUACAGCUGUUAUGAUGACUAUCUUUCUGCACCAUUUCCCUUAGGUUUAUACAAGCACAUUUUUCUUCCAUCUGAAAUGACAAUAUUACCAGCAAGCUUAGGAGCCUCCACAUGCAUCCUCAGUUCUGGUAUCUUGCAUGAUGAGAAAGUUAUAGAUCAGUACAGAAAAAGGUCCAUUUACACCGAACAAAGCAUCUACUUUUAAAUUGCUAGAAGAAUCACCUUCUACUACUAUAGAGAAUUUAUGAAUAAAAGCAGCCUCAGAUGUAAGUUGUUUUCUACAAUUUUUUGCAGUAUAUAUAGCUCACUCAACAUAUUUUUGCGAAUAUUUACAUUUCUAAUACCUUGCAGAUUGCCAAAAAAAACUCACAUAUCCAAUACUGGGGAAGAAAUUACAGGGGAAGAAAUUACAGUUUGCAUUUUCUUUCUACUUCAUUACCUAAUGAUUGGGGUCAGAUUAAUAAAACUAUACAUUUUAUUUCAUAGGAUUAAACAUGGAUCCCUGCACAUCAACAAUUGUACCAGUUAGAAGACCAAUAGACCACCGUGAAUAAUAGAUGUAAACGCAUGAGAACAACACAAUGUCUCAUUUUUAUAUAUUUCGAACACACAGCGCGCGCAAGGCGCGCGUUAGACA